CACGUAGGGUGCGAGCGUUGUCCGGAAUUAUUGGGCGUAAAGAGCUCGUAGGCGGUGUGUCGCGUCGGCCGUGAAAACCUGCAGCUUAACUGUGGGCUUGCGGUCGAUACGGGCAUCACCGGAGUUCGGCAGGGGAGACUGGAAUUCCUGGUGUAGCGUGAAAUGACGCAGAGUAUCAGGAGGAACGAGCCGGCUGGGCGGAAAGG
rnacentral:rRNA from 1 species